CACUUGACAUGAUGACCUAGACUAUUAUUCUAACAGUUAUCCCUGACUGAAUCAUCUUUGUUGAUAUCGUUCUACUUUCUGAUCCCAUG
rnacentral:snoRNA from 1 species